rnacentral:rRNA from 1 species
CGUAGGGGGCAAGCGUUGUCCGGAAUCAUUGGGCGUAAAGAGCGUGUAGGCGGUCCGGUAAGUCGGCUGUGAAAGUCCAGGGCUCAACCCUGGGAUGCCGGUCGAUACUGCCGGACUAGAGUUCGGAAGAGGCGAGUGGAAUUCCCGGUGUAGCGGUGAAAUGCGCAGAUAUCGGGAGGAACACCUAUGGCGAAGGCAGCUCGCUGGGACGUUACUGACGCUGAGACGCGAAAGCGUGGGGAGCAAACAGGAUUAGAUACCCUGGUAGUCCACGCCGUAAACGAUGGGCACUAGGUGUGGGAGGUGUCGACUCCUCCCGUGCCGGAGCUAACGCAUUAAGUGCCCCGCCUGGGGAGUACGGCCGCAAGGCUA